UCCCUGGAGGACUAGUGGUUAGCCCACAGCGUUCUCACUGAUGCAGCCUGGGUUUGAUUCCUGGCCAGGGAA